GAGUGAGGGGGUGACUAGUGGCAGAGUGAGGGAAGGAAGGGGUGACUAGUGACAGAGUGAGGGAGGUGGUGACUGUCACUAGUCACCACCUCCCUCACUCUGUCACUAGUCACCACCUCCCUCUGUCACUACUCCUUCCCUCCUUCUGUCACUAGUCACCCCCUUCGUCCCUUACUCUGUCACUAGUCACCCCCUCCCUC